AGUAAAUAGUUGUUUAGUCGUUUCAUCGACAUCCUCUACUGCCACCCAAGAGAACUCCUUCUUCCAGGACGCUUGAAAAUCUCU